rnacentral:rRNA from 1 species
GACGAAGGAUGCAAGCGUUAUCCGGAUUCAUUGGGUUUAAAGGGAGCGUAGGCGGCCUUAUAAGUCAGUGGUGAAAUCUUUGGGCUUAACCCAAAAAUUGCCAUUGAUACUGUAGGGCUUGAGUACAGUUGCUGUGGGCGGAAUAUGACAUGUAGUGGUGAAAUACAUAGAGAUGUCAUAGAACACCGAUUGCGAAGGCAGCUCACAAAACUGUAACUGACGCUGAGGCUCGAAAGUGCGGGGAUCAAACAGG